ensembl:lncRNA
CGCAGUAUUUAGGUACCAGCCUCUCUUCUCCUCCUCCUACAGUCUCGACGCCUCCCCAGGAAACUUUCAGCACGCGCCCGGGUCCGGCUGCGGUCCCCCCCGGCUCCGGCUCCGAGUCGCUCUCCGAGGCCUCGCCCAGCACCACCGUGGUGAAAGAGAGGCAGCAUGUCGCAAGAGAGAAACGAAAGGGAGGAGGGGGAAAUCGCGGGGAGAACAGCCCCCGUGGGCAGCGGAGACCCGCCCUUUCCCGCGUUCAGGGAAUAACCGCAUAACAGCCCGCAUAACAGCCCCGCGCUCCCCCGGACCUCACGGAGACCCCCCGCUUCCCCGCCCCCCUCCCAGCCCCACGCGGACCCCAAACACGUCCAGGCACCCGCAGCUCCAUCGGAACGCCUCGCAGUCCCUCCCAGCCCUACGGGACCCCCACGCCCGUACGCACGCCAAGCACCACACCAACUCCACUCCCUCAGCCCGCGCCGCAGCCUGGGUCACGUGCACGCUCACCCAUCACCGGCCUCGCGUCGCGUCGCGUCGAGCGACGUCACGCCUCCCACGCGCCCGGAUGAAGGGCGCGCCAAUAAUAGGCAGCGUGAAACCAAUCAGAUGGCCGAACGGGGAAGGGUGGCCAUACUUAGGACAAGGGGCGGAGGGGAGGGGCGUGAGGAGGCAUGCAGGGCCGGAGCCUGUGCCUGCCGUGCGUUCGUGUGGUCCGGCGGUGCCGCCCGGUGUCCGCUGCUGCUCGGGGCGGCGUGUGCCAGGGCCCUCGUCGGGAAACACUGCGUCCUUCUAUGGAAGCCGCCGAGCGCCUCGGCCUGCACUCUGUACAAUAAGGACGCGGCGAUGAAAAACCGAUUGGUUGUGCGCAGGGCGCAGCAGCUCCGCUGCUGGGACACUGUCAGGGCGCGUAAGAAGUCGCGGUCCCUCCGUGUGUGAGCUCCCUCCGAGGACGAGAAGGCCGCCAUCAGGUCUCCCCAGAGCCUUCUCCGGGCCGCACGAGCACAGCCAUCUCAGCCCUUCCUGUCGGGAGAGGCUGUUCCUGGGCAAUGGGGCGCAAAGCCAGGAGUCGGAUGCAACGGGGGCAUCCCCUGAUGUUCCGAUCCAUUGCCCCGUGCUACCCAGAAGCGAGCAGGGACGAGGGAAGAGGAGAGCCUCCACUUCUUGUCUGAGGAGAAGAGGUGCACCGAGAGGCCUGAGAGAAGGGGGAGAAUGUGGGGUGCGGGAGUUGCACCGCCACAGUUGACGCAGGCACUCCAGGCUUUAGGUGACGACUGCCCGAGAAAUCCAAACACCAAACCUUCCUUCCAAAUGAGCCCCACGCUGAGUUUUACCAAGCAGAGCGAGGAAGGAAGAAGCAUGACAUUUGGGCCUUGCAGGUGGGCAUCUUUCUGUGCCAGAAGUUCUUUGUCCUCUUAAUUAGUGAAGGGAGUGACGUGCGGAAUCAAACUCUAUAACCCACGUAAGCUUAUAAAGCAGCUAUGCUCGUCAUGGCGCCAGAUGCGAGGGGGAUAUCUCCUCCUCCAAGAGGACUCGCACUCCAAGAAAAGCUCUAGGUACAUAUUUACAGACAGAACAUUUACAUAUUCAUUACGUUUCACAGAAAUGGCCUGGAAUUCUGAGAAAUAUUACAUAUUGUCGACUCUCUUGAACAUGCGUCCUAAAAAUGGGGUGGGGGUCUCCGGUGGUCAUUGAUGAAGGCUAGUAGUCCUAUGCCCCCGGGCCCCUGUGAACUUCCAACCUUUUAGUGGGGGGUAGUCCAAACCAGCUCGUACUGGUGUUUUGUUGAGCCGAGGCAUCUGUUUCACUCUCCCAUCUUCUACAACAGGAGUCCAUUCUUCUUUCUUAUU